rnacentral:rRNA from 1 species
UAACAAGAGAGUUUGAUCCUGGCUCAGGAUAAACGCUGGCGGCGCACAUAAGACAUGCAAGUCGAACGGAAGUCGUUAUAUUGAUUUGAAUUCUGAUUUGAAGAUUUAUCUGAUAUGAAGUUGAAGAAGAUAUAUAACAAUGGCUUUAGUGGCGGACUGGUGAGUAACGCGUAAGCAAUCUGCCUAUUAGAGGGGAACAACAGUGAGAAAUCACUGCUAAUACCGCAUAUGCCAUAGUUAUCACAUGAUAAUAGUGGGAAAGGAGCAAUCCGCUAAUAGAUGAGCUUGCGUCUGAUUAGCUAGUUGGUGGGGUAACGGCCUACCAAGGCGACGAUCAGU